rnacentral:misc_RNA from 1 species
GUUGAAGGGGAUUGUUUAAGAGUUUUGUCUUCCUACCAGAAAUGGAAAAUUAUAGUCGAAAACUGUACUGUUUUGGAUUUACCACGCACUGCGAAUCAGUGUCGGAGCAAGUGGAAUUCGUUGCUGGCUGAGUACAACCAGAUCAAACAAUGGGAUUCCAAGUCCAAGAACGAUUCGUAUUGCUUUUUGGACUGUGAAAGGAGAAAACAAUUAGGACUUCCUGAGAAUUUUGACAACGAGCUCUUCAAAGCUAUUGACGAUUAUGUGAGGGCACAGAAGGACCGCCCGGAUACGGAUCCAGAUACUGAUCCGGAGGCACAGGCUGACCUGCUUCAUGUAAUAGCAAAACUUGGGUCCAAGAGAAAACUUAAUGCAUUACUAGGAGAAAAGCCUCAAAAUUGCUGCACAAAGGAACAGCCUCUGAAAUUCCAUACUGGAGAGGAACCUCAGAAUAGUUGGAAGGGAGAAAAUCCUCAGAUGUGCUGUGAAAAGGAAAAGCCUCAGAAUAUCCAGGCUGAAGAGAAACCUCAGAAGACUCUUAUGGAAGAGAAGCCUAAAAAUGACUGCACACAAAAAAGGAAGAUAACUGGCACAGAAGAAAUGGACCAAAUGAUGGUGGACAGGCUGCGAGAGAAUGCAGAAUUCAUCCAUGCUAUAGUUCAAGAAAACCCUCCUGAGAUAGCAGACUUUGGGGCCGCUGAUUUUGUAAGAGGUCAAGGGGACAAG